rnacentral:ncRNA from 1 species
AAAGAUCCAAUGAAGGGAAGCAAGUAAGCAUAUGGGAUGUUUACAGAGAGCUGCUGGUGGUGGAAAUGCAGUAACUUACCAUAGGCUGAAUGGGUCCUAGAGGAUUUGGGUGAAAUUUUAGUAGCCUAAAACGCAUGCUCGCCGUUAAAUGAGCAGGAUAUGUUAGUAUCCUACAGAGGAGAAGCUUUUGCUUCUUGAAAUAGGUGGUACCGCGUAAUACUACGCCCUAUGC